GGCCUACCAUGGUGGUAACGGGUAACGGGGUGUUAGGGCACGACACCGGAGAGGGAGCCUGAGAAACGGCUACCACAUCCAAGGAUGGCAGCAGGCGCGCAAAUUACCCAAUCCCGACACGGGGAGGUAGUGACAAUAAAUAACAAUACGGGGUUCUUUCGGAUCUCGUAAUUGGAAUGAGUACAAUUUAAAUCUCUUAACGAGGAACAAUUGGAGGGCAAGUCUGGUGCCAGCAGCCGCGGUAAUUCCAGCUCCAAUAGCGUAUAUUAAAGUUGUUGCAGUUAAAAAGCUCGUAGUUGAAUUUCGGGAUCAGUAGGUUGGUCAUGCCUAUGGUAUGUACUGGCUUUACUGGUUCCUCCUUCUUGAUGAUCUGUAAUGUCAUUAAUUUGGUGUUGCAGGGAGUCAGGACUGUUACUUUGAAAAAAUUAGAGUGUUUAAAGCAGGCAUACGCUUGAAUACAUUAGCAUGGAAUAAUGAAAUAGGACGUUCGAUCCUAUUUUGUUGGUUUCUAGGAUUGACGUAAUGAUUAAUAGGGAUAGUUGGGGGCAUUAGUAUUCAAUUGUCAGAGGUGAAAUUCUUGGAUUUAUUGAAGACUAACUACCGCGAAAGCAUUUGCCAAGGAUGUUUUCAUUAAUCAAGAACGAAAGUUAGGGGAUCGAAGACGAUCAGAUACCGUCGUAGUCUUAAACCAUAAACUAUGCCGACUAGGGAUCGGAUGAUGUUAUUUUUAAUGACUCAUUCGGCGCCUUACCG
rnacentral:rRNA from 1 species